rnacentral:miRNA from 1 species
UUCAACAGAUAGGGCGCUCAU